AUACGGAGGAUGCGAGCGUUAUCCGGAUUUAUUGGGUUUAAAGGGUGCGUAGGCGGCCUUGUAAGUCAGCGGUGAAAUUUUGCAGCUUAACUGUAAAAGUGCCGUUGAUACUGUGAGGCUAGGAUUUGGUUGCUGUGGGUGGAAUGUGUGGUGUAGCGGUGAAAUGCUUAGAGAUCACACAGAAUAUCGAUUGCGAAGGCAGCUCACAAAGCCAAGAUGGACGCUGAGGCACGAAAGUGUGGGGAUCAAACAGGAUUAGAUACCCUGGUAGUCCACACUGUAAACGAUGAUAACUCGCUGUCGGCGGCAGACAGUCGGCGGCCAAGCGAAAGCGAUAAGUAAUCCACCUGGGGAGUACGCCGGCAACGGUGAAACUCAAAUGAAUUGACGGGG
rnacentral:rRNA from 1 species